ACAUACAGCCUUAGCUAUUGGGAUUAGAAAGCGCUCUUAGUUCAGUUCGGUAGAACGCGGGUCUCCAAAACCCG
rnacentral:tRNA from 1 species